UUUAAUAUAAAUAGAUUGGUUUUUCAGACAGAAAAUUGUCAGUGUCAGUUGCAGUGUCAGCAGAGUUAAUUCAAAGCAUCAAAAUGGCUAAAAUUUUGAUUUAUACAAUUUUCUCGUUUGUUGUCCUUGCUUCUUUGAAUUUAGGUACGGCUAACCCGCUCGGCCCAUUACUUUCCAGAAACUCCCUAAUUAAAACGGUGGAUCCAUUAUGGAAUUGAAUUUCUCAAUUUGACUAACUUAAAAUGUCAAAUAAAAAGUAAUUGAAUCAAGAAA